UUUUUUUCAACUCCGUUAAUUUCAAGGGUGCAUUCCUGAGCUUAAAUUAAUUCAGUCAAAGAUUGAUUAAGAUGUGUAAAAUCUAAGACAAUUUCGUGCUUCGAAUUUGACAGGUCAACGAGAUGGCGCUGUA